rnacentral:rRNA from 1 species
GACGAACGCUGGCGGCGUGCCUAAUACAUGCAAGUAGAACGCUGAAGGAGGAGCUUGCUUCUCCGGAUGAGUUGCGAACGGGUGAGUAACGCGUAGGUAACCUGCCUGGUAGCGGGGGAUAACUAUUGGAAACGAUAGCUAAUACCGCAUAAUAGUAGAUGUUGCAUGACAUUUACUUAAAAGGUGCAAUUGCAUCACUACCAGAUGGACCUGCGUUGUAUUAGCUAGUUGGUGGGGUAACGGCUCACCAAGGCGACGAUACAUAGCCGACCUGAGAGGGUGAUCGGCCACACUGGGACUGAGACACGGCCCAAACUCCUACGGGAGGCAGCAGUAGGGAAUCUUCGGCAAUGGACGGAAGUCUGACCGAGCAACGCCGCGUGAGUGAAGAAGGUUUUCGGAUCGUAAAGCUCUGUUGUAAGAGAAGAACGAGUGUGAGAGUGGAAAGUUCACACUGUGACGGUAUCUUACCAGAAAGGGACGGCUAACUACGUGCCAGCAGCCGCGGUAAUACGUAGGUCCCGAGCGUUGUCCGGAUUUAUUGGGCGUAAAGCGAGCGCAGGCGGUUAGAUAAGUCUGAAGUUAAAGGCUGUGGCUUAACCAUAGUACGCUUUGGAAACUGUUUAACUUGAGUGCAAGAGGGGAGAGUGGAAUUCCAUGUGUAGCGGUGAAAUGCGUAGAUAUAUGGAGGAACACCGGUGGCGAAAGCGGCUCUCUGGCUUGUAACUGACGCUGAGGCUCGAAAGCGUGGGGAGCAAACAGG